rnacentral:rRNA from 1 species
AGAGUUUGAUCAUGGCUCAGGACGAACGCUGGCGGCGUGCUUAACACAUGCAAGUCGAGCGGAAAGGCCCUUCGGGGUACUCGAGCGGCGAACGGGUGAGUAACACGUGAGCAACCUGCCCUUAGCUCUGGGAUAGCUCCGGGAAACCGGAAUUAAUACCGGAUAUGACCCCGGCCGACAUCGGCUGGUGUGGAAAGAAUUUCGGCUAGGGAUGGACUCGCGGCCUAUCAGCUAGUUGGUGGGGUAAUGGCCUACCAAGGCGACGACGGGUAGCCGGCCUGAGAGGGCGACCGGCCACACUGGGACUGAGACACGGCCCAGACUCCUACGGGAGGCAGCAGUGGGGAAUCUUGCGCAAUGGGCGAAAGCCUGACGCAGCAACGCCGCGUGGGGGAUGAAGGCCUUCGGGUUGUAAACCCCUUUCAGCAGGGACGAAGCGAAAGUGACGGUACCUGCAGAAGAAGCGCCGGCUAACUACGUGCCAGCAGCCGCGGUAACACGUAGGGCGCAAGCGUUGUCCGGAAUUAUUGGGCGUAAAGAGCUCGUAGGCGGACUGUCACGUCCGCUGUGAAAAGCUAGGGCUUAACCCUGGCCUUGCAGUGGAUACGGGCAGACUAGAGGUAGGUAGGGGAGAAUGGAAUUCCCGGUGUAGCGGUGAAAUGCGCAGAUAUCGGGAGGAACACCGGUGGCGAAGGCGGUUCUCUGGGCCUUACCUGACGCUGAGGAGCGAAAGCGUGGGGAGCGAACAGGAUUAGAUACCUGCGUAGUCCUAGCCCUAAACGCAUGUCUGCU